GAAUAGUUGCUACGUCACUUUUUCGUGUCCGGACAAAACAAAAAGCUGUGAUAACAGGAGCCCACAUUCAUGGAGUUUUCCACCUGAAGUGGACAUUGUGGCUUUCGGACAGCCGAGGCUUCCUCGUCUUCUUCUUCCUUGGUAGUUGUGAUGUGUUCUUCUGUCACUAGCUACUAAUGUGCCUGUAUAUGUGUGUGUGUUUGUGUUUGUGUAUGCUGCGUAGCUCCAGCUAGCCGGCCAAAGGAGUUUCAACAUGGAUGCUGAAGGUGGACCACAGUUGUUGUGAUAGGAUGGUGAUCGAGGUGUGGUUCGGCAGAAAGCAGGCCGACCCAAGGGUUAACGGCACACUGUUCUGGAAGCUUCUUAAAAUGUUCGCGAAGCACGGGCGGGGAUGUUCGGCCCAAAAUGGCAUCGCUUUUUUGCAACAGUCAUGUAUGAUCUCCCACGGCCUAUCGUGAAACGUGGGCAUGUCUGACGAGGUGGCAAAAGUUGUUGUUGCCGGAGUGGAAACGCAGAGGGAGUCGAGCAUAGACGACAGAGGCCGGUCGGGGUCCGUCUCUGCAAUUAGAUAACAGAUUGUCGUCUGCCGUCAUGUGACGUGUUUUAACACCGCAUGCCUGCCGGGAUUCGGUCGAAUCCUUCCCAAGACAAAGUGACUCCUGCGUAGUUAGAAGAGGCAGCGGCGAUGACGCAGUCCUCUCUGGGCUGGACUUCUCGUCACCUCGUUUGGAUCGCUCCCACUUCCUCUCUCUCUAGCUCUGUGUCAUGGAGAGAAGGAACAGUGGGAGGGGCUAAAUGUCAGAGCUCAGGAUGAGGGAGAGAAAUAGAGCAACGGAGAGAGACCGAGAGAGAAAGCAUAGGAGAUACAGGGUGAAAGAAACUGAAGUCGUUUACCCGCCUCUCAUGGUUACCCUGCUUUGGCUUCAUUCAGUCCACUGCUGCGCUUCAAGUUGGCAUUGCAUGGUUUGGCACUAAACAGUACUCUUAUUGGAUAUAAGUCGCUACGCAAAGCAUAAUUGGUUGGCAGUUGGAGCUCAGCUGAAUCAUUCAUAUUUCUAUGCACAUCUAUUAAGAGUGUAACGGUACAUGUAUUCGUAUUGAACCGUUUCGGUACAUGGUGCUCGGUUUGGAACGGAGGCGUACCGAACGAGUUUCUUACGUAAUGUAACCCUUACUUUUCGAGGCUGUGAGUCGAUCGGGUUACAGUUUGUUUGUGUAGAUUAUAUUUAAUCUGUCUUUUCUACUAUAAUGAGGACCAACACGGUAGGGCAGUAUAACCCAGAAACGUCAACUGCGCGACAACGUGGCCGCCGCGAGAACGCAGCGGCGGCGUGUUAGACGCGUCCCAGAAGUGGCUCAACAUGACGCACGCGAAAAGACCGGCAGAGUUUAUUACUUGAUGCGGGUCACGACCCUCCUGCGUCAAUACUACUACCGGUAGCUAGGAUCGGGGAGACCGGAAGUCACUCAUGUAAAAAUAUGGUGGAUCCGGUCGAUUUUCAAACUAAUAUGCAAUCGUAACCCACUUUUUGAGGUCAUCAGAUCUCUUGAGUGGUAGAUCAGGGCACAAGUUGACUUGUCUUUGUUGAUUUACUGCUGUCUUCUCUGCUAUAAUAAUAACCAACAUGGCCCCGUUUUGAAUACAAAACCCUCCUACCACAACAAAACAAGUAGGAACUAAUAUUCACAGAGGAACUAAAGUUAUACAACAUAAAACAUACAAUAUAAAUGAAUACUACAUCACAUUUGUAAAAUAUAAACACAAAAUAAAAUAAAUAAUAGCCCGUUUAAAUAAAAUAAAUUGAAAUGAGCUAAAACACCUGUAAUUAAAAAAUAAGAAUAAUACACAGAUCCUGCUUACACAAUUAAAUGUAUUAAUUUCUGUGUGGCGCUUUAACUUGAGAAAAUCCACCAAUAAAACUUUUGAAAACCGUUCAUAAGAAAAAAAAAAUGAUUCAUUGAGGCAUUCAUUUGUAAAAUACAUGUUAAAAUCUUUGUCAUUGGGAUUGCUUUUCUCUUUAGCACAGGACUUCUUUUUUCUCUCAGAAAGAAAGCUGACCUAUACGCGGGGUCUGAAAGGCAAAUUUUUGCUGGAUUAUCUUUAAAUACCCGCUACUUUUUGAGCAGAAUUCUAGCUUUGUAUAGGCUAAUGUUCCUAUUGUUGAAAGCACAAAGGUGUGUAAUAAACAACUAGCACAUUUAUAUUUUGCAUUUUGUUUUCUUACUGUACCGAAAAUGAACCGAACCGUGACCUCAAAACCGAGGUACGUACCGAACCGAGAUUUUUGUGUAGAGUUACACCCCUAACAUCUAUAUUAGGGAAGGCACAAUAUUAAUAAUAUCAUGAUAUCGCAAGAUUAAAUUCCGCAUUUCUGUAGCUGGUAUCCUGGGUUCCUUUAUGACCUCUUUAAUGGGAUGUCGCCGUGCUCUUGAGAUAAUUGUUCCUCCAUAUUUAUGAUAGGUUGAAUAUUUUGAGGUUGAAUAUUUUGAGGAAUUGUUAUAGUUUGUUGCAGUUUGUUGAGAUUUUUUCCAUUUUGUCUGGCAGGUUCUAUUUAAGUGGUUUCUUUUUUGAACAGGAGUUAAUUAGGCUCGAACACAGUCAGUCAAAAUGUGAUUACCCGCGUACACUAAGUCGUGAUCUAAGAAGGGACGGCGAUUACUUUUUUACUUCAAGGAUAGAAAUCUUUAGUUUUAUUUCCUUAAAGGGAACCACGGGUAUAAAGACUUAAAAUAUAAACGUUAUUAUGAGUUAAAAUAAUUUGAUAUUAAAACCCCUCUUGAUGUUUUUUUUUUUUAUACAGUUUGGAAAAUUACCGUAUUGACCCGAAUAUAAGACGGCCCUGAUAGUAAGACGACCCCCUCUUUUUCAGGACUAAAGUUUGAAAAAAGACUUUUUGAACACCAAAUUAAUUUUUAUACAGAAAAUAAUUUCAGUACAUCUGAAACAAAUGAUUAUAACAACGUAUUUGAGAGAAAAAGCUUGUUAUUUUGCCUAAUUCAAAUCUUAAUAUCUGAACAUUUAAAUAUGUAAACUAAAGUGCAAUCACAUUAGUAAAUGAAUGGCUUCUGGUUUUUGAAAUGUAAAUAAAUCUAUUGUGAUUAAAAAACAAAAUUGCAUUAACCAUCAAAGUGAAGUCUAACUAACUAGUCUUGAAACAAAUCUGAAUAAGUAAAAACAUUGCAAUAAAAUAAUGCAAACUGGUUAAACUUGAGAGUAGCUGAGAUCUGUCAUGACAGAACAUCGCUUCGAUGACAUUUGGCGCCAUCUAGCGUCGCGAAUGGGAAUAAUGUCUAGACCGCGAAUAUAAGACGACCCCCACUUUUUCAGUCAUAUUUCAAUGCAAAAAACAUCGUCUUAUAUUCGGGCCAAUACAGUAAAAUACAAUACAGUUUAAAAAGUAGGUCGCCAUUGUUGUUGACGUCGCAGGGCGGUGAAGUAACUAGGUUACGCUCCCGGGCUUCCACAGUAUGACUCCAUCGACAUAAACAUGAUAUCUUUUUAACCCUUUCAAUUAGAGCCCGAGAGGAACAUGACAGCACUGUCGAUAUUUCACAAUAUGAGCAGCAAAAGCAAAAUGAACAGGAAAGACGGGAUGAGACGAGAGGAGAGUAGGACAAAAUAGAACCCGAGAGGAACAUGACAGCACUGUCGAUAUUUCACAAUACGAGCAGCAAAAGCAAAUGAACAGGAAGUAUGGGAUGAGACGAGAGGAGAGUAGGACAAAACCGGUGUUCUGCCAAAAUGUGCUACACCGGCGAAACGUCUACAAGAGGCGAAUUUGACACCCAAAGUACUACCGUGUGCUUUCAGCUUGUUUUGUUUAGAUGCAUACAGACAACAUACUAAAGAUGCCUUAAGAAAUUACUUAAACAUAGUAAUAUCAAAUAAGGGUGGUUUAAAUAUGCUACAUGGCUAAUGUGGUCAAUAGCUCAAUCUGCUUUAAGGCUACUACAAGAAAACACAAAGCUUAAAAGUAUGAGAGGGAAACAUGCAAAAGGCAUUUUGAGGCAAUGAAAAGGUCAUAAAAGACUAAAUAAAAAUACUUAAUAGUGAGUACUCACCAUUUUUACUCGAUGUGCGCAUUUGAACAUUUCGCCGCCGCAAGGAAUUGCAGAACACCGGUAGUGUUUGUCUAGUGACAGUGACAAACUACGCUAUAACCCCGAGCGUCCAUUGCGUGCAUAAAACAUGGCGCCCUCCGUAGGUCAAAACAUGUACUAAAUAUUAUAGAUUUUUAAAUCAAUGGCAAUAUUUUCUUUGUUUCUAAUGACAUAUUUUAGUAAAAGAAAAAUUGUGGCUUAUUAGAGCCUACAAGUCUAAGUCCGAUUUUCCCUUUAAUAGAUAAAAUUUCCUUUAAAAUAUCAUAAUUUUUCUGAGGGACAGAUACAAACAAAAUUUUAAGAAGUGUGUAAAUACUUCAUCAUAAGUACUUGAUCUGCACACAGGGAAGGCGUAAAUUAAAAAAGUCCAAAUUUUUCCUUAGUUGGAACGAUUAAUCGAUUAACUUGAGUAUUCGAUUAGAAAAAAAGAUUCGAAUAAAAUUUUGCUGCUUCGAGUAUUCAUUUAAUUAUUGUGGCGUUGUCAUGGUUUAUUUUGAAAGUGUUUGCAAUCAGUUUUAUUGAUUUGAGUGGAUACACUGCCUUCUAGUCUGCCUAAUUUGACAUGGCUGAAUCCAGCUGCUCCAUGUUAAGACCAACAUAAGCUAGGUUUUUGUUUGCGCUAAUGUUUUUUUUUAGGGCUGCAGCUAUCGAAUAUUUUAGUAAUCGAGUAGUCGACUGAAAAUUCUAUCGAUUAAUCGAGUAAUCGGAUAAAACAUUUUUUUUUUUAGGUAAAGAGCAAUUAUAAAUAUACAUGAGAAAAAAAGACAUAUAAUCCAAUAUUGAACCAUUUUCAGUCAAUCAAUGUCUUUAUUUUCGAUGUACAUUGUUGAAAAAGCCAACAAUUGCAUCUCAGAUGUGACUAGAAAAAAAAUCACUGCUUUCACUCAAAAAAACUUGUAGAGCUUAUAAAAAAAAUAUAUAUUUAUAUAAGUUAUAUAUUUCUUACCUAAAAAUGUAAUUACGCUUGAUAACACACAUCACUUGAAAGCUACGUAUUUUUCCCACGUGUUUCAAUUGAAUUUCCAUUUGUGUCAAGCUAUUUUUAAGUUCAAGUUAAGUUUUAAGUUAGUCUAAACUGUAAGUACUGAUAAGAUUUUGAGUUUUUGCAGUUUUCAAAAUAAAUGUAUGAUACCUGCUGUAUUGGAGCACAUUAAGGACCAGCGCUACUUGGUGUUUUAUUCAGCUAUGACUACUGAGCUAAAACUGACAGUUAGCUUUAUUAUGUUUUAAUUUUACACCCUCAUCACUCUACAGCGCGGUGUUUGUACAGAUUAAUUUAAGCCUGUAUGUAAGACACAUUAGCCACGCAUCGACAGUGGUCAUAAUCAAUAGAAACCUAGCCCUCCGAAGGGCUAACGUUACUUGAGCGAGUGACAGUAACGUUAUAUUUAGUAGUGCUGAGUACUGCUUAAUGAUGGCGGCUGUUUACUAUCGCUGCCCAGACGCUGCUGAGUCUGUCAUUUUGCAUCUAGUCCUAAAUGCAUGCGAUGUCUAUGAGACACAUCAGACACUACCUGCUACUAGCAUCAUGCGGGCGUAGUUUUUAGCAACGUCGGCGUAGUUUGUAGCGGCUGUCGGCUUUUUUUUUAUUGCUAUUGCGUUGUCCCGCAUUAAAAGUAGUCCUGGCAAAACGUGAUGCUUAGAGCUGGCAAAAUGAAACGAUUCCUCGAGGUAAAUAAAAUUACUCGGAUCAGUUUUUAAACUCGAGUUACUCGAGUUGCUCGAGUAUUCGUUUCAGCUCUAGUUUUUAUUAAUGUAUUCGUAAUUUAGUUUAUGGGAAUAUUUAGCUGUAUUUUGUUGGAAUAUGUGUCUGAACCAUUUGUUAAGAGCAUUGUUAAAAAAAAAAAAAAAAGUUAACGUUUUAUAGCAUUUAAGCUAGCAGACUUUUGCUAUUUAAGUUAGCCAAUUGUUCUUUUGUUGUACAUAGAUCCUUAUUUAAUUAUUUAAUGCCGUUUGAGGCUCAGUUCAGGUAUUUUAAUAUUUCAUGUUACUUCUCUGAUUACUCGAUUAUUCAACAAACUAGUUAAUCGAUUAAUCGACUACUAAAAUAAUCGAUAGCUGCAGCCUUAUAAGGAAGUAUUUUUAACUUCUCUUGAAAAAACAAAACAAAAAUAACAUACAUCGUGACAGGAGUCAGCAGGUGCUUUGUCAGCACUCGACUGGGUUAUAGCUAUCUUGGAUUUUGUCAAUCCAGCCAAGUUUCAGCUUGUAGUAGUAAAUAUUAGUCAUUUUCUAAUACUCUCAACUUGGACCCAAUAAUGAUGGAUAAUAGAUUCCUGCCUUUGUCACAGUCCCAUCUGGAUUAACCGCGCUACGAAGGUCUGCUGUCUCUUUAAAUGUUUUAUAAGCGUUACACAAGAGGUCCAGUGGCACACAAACAUUAAGCGGGCAGGAGGGAACAUGGUGGUAAUGCAAAGUCAGCGAGGCGAUGGAGACUGGACACCUUACCUACAUAAAGGUCUUCUAAUCUGUUUGGUAAUUGUGUUAACACACACAUACUGUUAAUAACCUCGUACACAACUCGAACGUCAAAAGGUUUCGCCUGCUCCAUCUGAUACUUGAUAAGUACUGUUUUUUAUUCUUAUUGUGAAAAGAAAUAUCUGAUGUUUUGGACUGACUUGCUUUUAAUUCCGUGCAUUUGGCUUUGAUCACGGUUAAAAACCAGAGUUAUUUGUGGGAGUUGUCGCUCUACACACAUGCAGACAAAAUAGGCAGACUGCUUGUGGGCGUGUGUUUUCUGGAAGGAUUGUCAGUGGUCCUUUUAGCAAGAGGUGAGUUGCUUUUGACUUGGCAGGCGGUCGGUGUGCUGACACUACCUGAGCCCUGCCCUCUCUCUGUGUUUGUGUAUGUGCGUCAUGGCUCUUGUUGCCAGCCAUUGAUCUUUACUUCCUUGUGAUACAGAGAUCGUAAACCUUCCCUCGUUCAUCAUUUUCAUCAAUGCUCACCGAAGUAGUGAAGACGAGAAACGGCACGAGGGCGCAUGUGUCCGAUGAGGCAAAAUGUCAAGUGCACAGUGGCGUCUCGAGCUGCUUUUUUGACUUUGCGUUCAUUUUGAGACUGAUAAGAUGUGGGCGUUACCCAAGCAGGAUACAUUGUACUCCCUUUUCAGAAUGUUGAUCCACUGAAAUCUUAACCAUUUCAUGCACAAAUUAUUACUUUUUUUUUUUUUUAAACUUACAGGGCACCCAUUUAACUCAUCGACUGCCACUGCCGGUGCUAGAUGUCCUAUCCAUUUUGAUUUGGAAGGGGGAAUAAACCAAGGGCGUAGGUUUGCAUUGGGAUGGUAGGGACAUAACACAACCAACUUUUCAGGAUGUCCAAAUUAUCCCCACCAACUUUUAAGCAACCUUAUUUGCAUUAUAUAAUGACUUCACUUAUACAGGUUGUUUAAAUUCCAUUAUUAAAUUAAUUACAGUACUUUCAUUAUGUUCACUUACACUGACCCCUUUUCACUUGUUGAAUGUGCCAGUCCAUUUUUCCCCUGAAACGCACGUUUGAUUGACUGAUGACUUCAACCCCCUGACUACCCCCCCCCCCCACACACACACACACACCCCCCCAUUCACAGCCGGACAGAAAUACAACAUGCCGCCUCCCCCGCCCCCUUCAAAGACGAGGGAUGGAUAUUAGAAGGUGUUUCAGCACACAGCCAAUACUAGCUAACGUUACUGUUUACAUUGACUAACACUGGGCUGCUAUAGGUGUGCAAACACCCCAGUAAUGGAUGCAUACACAAAUCUUAUUUGGAUUAAUCAAGAGUCAUAGGCCAAAUUGCGGUUGUUAACAAAUUAUUUAUAAUUUUUCUGCGGCCCGGUAGCAAAUGCGCCUCAGACCAAUACCGGUCCCCAGACCAGUGAAUGGGGAUCCCUGCUUUAGAGUGUUACUUAGGGCCAUAACCAGAGUGUAUUUCUGUUUUUAUUCAUUUAAAUUUCAUAAAUUUAGCUUCAAUAUUGUAUUAAUUCAUAAAUUUAAUUCAAAGUUGUUUUUUUUCAAAUGGAAAAAAAAGUCACUUGCCCUAUAAAGCAGUGGUCUCCAACCCGGCCCGCUGUGGGUCGUGGUUUUUGUUCCUGCCGAUCCAGCACAGAUAGUUGAACCAAUGAGGUUUCUGCUAAAACAAGCAACACCUGACUGCAAUCAACUGAUUGCACUUGUAAAACAACGGAGUGGUAAAAAAGUGUCGUCAAUUGUCUGGUUGGAAUGAAAUUCUGCACCCACAGCGGGCCUUAGAGGACCGAGUUGGAGACCACUGCUAUAGAGGAUUGAAGGUUUUUUUCGUAUCAGAAAUGCCCCCCUUGGAAGCUGGCUUCAGAUGGUGGCUUAGAGUAUUGUCAUCUAUCUAGCACCAUUUGAAAUCAGUGUUUUUGGGGUGGGCAGUUAGAAUCACCUGCCAGUAAAAGUCAUCUGUGCCAAGAAAAGUUCUUCACUCAAGUGGCAGCCGGAGCACUUUGUCCUUUUUCCAAGGUUGACCGAUUUCUUCUGGCGCUGAGAGUCUGCUUGUUUCUAGCACCAUUUGAAAUCGGUUACAGUGAAGGACAGCUCUCGUCUCACCUUGGACCAUGAGGAAAGUCAACGUCAGAAACUGACCUCAAACCACCUUCGAUGAAAAGUGGUCACACAAGAAUGCGCUCAUGUUUGCUAUUAUUACUACUUAUAUCUAAGAAAUAAUAUGAUCAAAAUAAUGUGUGCAGUUUCUUUCCUCCACAUAAAACUUCAUUGCCUGCCAUUUAAUUAUCAGUUAACAUCUCAUCCACAAGAUGGUGCUGUGCUAAAUUGUAAAGCAGAACAAAAGCACUUGUAACAGAGAUCCUGGGAAAUGUAAUCUUUAGCUUUCCACUUGGCAUUUACACAUGCUACAAAGUUUUUGUCGGGUAAGAUGCGCAUCCUAGUUACUAAUUUGUUGAAAGUAUGUCAGCAAUAAGGGCAUAACAAAGUUGAAAUAUGGAAAUUGGUGUUUACAUUUUAUGUAGCAGAAGUGGGUAGAGUAGCCAAAAACCUUAAUCACAUAAGAGUAGCGUUACUUCUAAAUAAUAUUGUUCAAGUAAAAGUAGUUAUCCAAAGAUUUACUCAAGUAAAGUAUUUGUUGAAAAAAAAAUACUCAAGUAAUGAGUAACAUUAAACUAAUGCUUACAAUGUUUUUUUUUUUUUUUUUUUUUUUAAUAACGAUAUAUUUUUUUCUCAGCAAAACUUCUAUAUAAACUAUUAUUAUACUGUACUAUAACCCAUUACAUGACCAUAUUAGGCCAGAAAUAAUGACUUUUUAUAAAAAAAACAUUUCUGACCAGAACAACACUAUGAAACAUCACCUGUCUAAAGAGAAUGAGCACCCUCUAGUGGAGAAAAAAACUUAGCUCUGAUUGGUAUAACUUAGUCAUGUGGUUCUUGUUGCGAUGUCUCAUUGGUGAAACAGAACCAAUGUUGGCAUUUCUGGCAAAAACAGUCAAUAUGUAGAAUAAAAAAGGAAAAAUUUAACGACUCUAGUGUAGCCCAAAGUAGCCGAGUAAGAGUAGUGUUUCUUCUUCACAAAUCUACUCAAGUAAAAAUUAUAGCGUUGUAAAACGAAGAAGUACAUUUUUCUAAAAAAUAAUAAUACAUUUUAUUUGUAAAGCGUUUUUAACCAAUGCUCAAAUACGCUUUACAGUUGAAACAAAAAACAGCAAACAACGUGACCAGAAUAAAACAAAGAAAAUAAUUAUAAGUUAAAAGCUAGUUUAAAAAGCUGAGUUUUUAACAGUUUUUUGAAUAUAGUGAAGUCAGUAUGCAUCUUGCCUAAUGCAAUCAAAUGGAGUUGUUUUUCAUAGAAACUGCUGACAGGUAGUUUUGCCUAAGAUAAUCAUGGACUUUUAACUGCCAACCAGCAAGACUCAUGACCUAAUCACCAAACGUUCCAGACACACCUCCUUAUUUGUACAGCAUAUAAGCAAUGCCGAGCCAUCUGUCUAGCGUGCAUUUCUCUACACAUCUUUUGUUCUGUCAUUGAAUGCACCCAGAAAUUUCUGAAAUUAAAACUGUGCAGUAUUGA